rnacentral:tRNA from 1 species
UCCCAGGUGGCUAAGACGGUAAAGAAUCUGUCUGCAAUGCAGGAGACCUGGGUUCAAUCCCUGGGUCGGGAA